rnacentral:rRNA from 1 species
CGAGUAACCUGCCCUGGACUUUGGGAUAACCCUCGGGGAACGGGGGCUAAUACCGGAUAUGACAUGCUCUCGCAUGGGGGUGUGUGGAAAGUUUUUCGGUCUGGGAUGGGCUCGCGGCCUAUCAGCUUGUUGGUGGGGUAGUGGCCUACCAAGGCGACGACGGGUAGCCGGCCUGAGAGGGUGACCGGCCACACUGGGACUGAGACACGGCCCAGACUCCUACGGGAGGCA